AUUGAACGCUGGCGGCAUGCCUUACACAUGCAAGUCGAACGGCAGCGGGGGAGAAGCUUGCUUUUCCUGCCGGCGAGUGGCGAACGGGUGAGUAAUACAUCGGAACGUGCCCUGUAGUGGGGGAUAACUAGUCGAAAGAUUAGCUAAUACCGCAUACGACCCGAGGGUGAAAGUGGCGGAGCGCAAGGCCUCAUGCUAUAGGAGCGGCCGAUGUCUGAUUAGCUAGUUGGUGGGGUAAAGGCCGACCAAGGCGACGAUCAGUAGGUGGACUGAGAGGCAGAUAAGCCACACUGGGACUGAGACACGGCCCAGACUCCCACGGGGGGCAGCAGUGGGGAAUUUUGGACAAUGGGCGAAAGCCUGAUCCAGCAAUGCCGCGUGUGUGAAGAAGGCCUUCGGGUUGUAAAGCACUUUUGUCCGGAAAGAAAUGGCUCUGGUUAAUACCGGGGGUCGAUGACGGUACCGGAAGAAUAAGGACCGGCUAACUACGUGCCAGCCGCCGCAGUAA
rnacentral:rRNA from 1 species